rnacentral:rRNA from 1 species
CCUACGGGAGGCAGCAGUAGGGAAUAUUGCUCAAUGGGGGAAACCCUGUAGCAGCAACGCCGCGUGGAGGAUGACGGUUUUCGGAUUGUAAACUCCUUUUGUUAGAGAAGAUAAUGACGGUAUCUAACGAAUAAGCACCGUCUAACUCCGUGCCAGCAGCCGCGGUAAUACGGAGGGUGCAAGCGUUACUCGGACUCACUGGGCGUAAAGCGCGCGUAGGCGGGAUAGCAAGUCAGAUGUGAAAUCCUAUGGCUUAACCAUAGAACUGCAGUUGAAACUGUUAUUCUAGAGUAUGGGAGAGGUAGGUGGAAUUCUUGGUGUAGAGGUAAAAUCCGUAGAGAUCAAGAGGAAUUCUCAUUGCGAAGGCGACCUGCUAGAACAUAACUGACGCUGAUGCGCGAAAGCGUGGGGAGCAAACAGGAUUAGAUACCCCUGUAGUC